rnacentral:rRNA from 1 species
GACGAACGCUGGCGGCGUGCUUAACACAUGCAAGUCGAGCGGUAAGGCCCUUUCGGGGGUACGACGAGCGGCGAACGGGUGAGUAACACGUGGGUGACCUGCCCUCCAGCUCUGGGAUAAGCCUGGGAAACCGGGUCUAAUACCGGAUAUGACUCCAUGACGCAUGUUGGUGGGGUAGGAAAGCCUUGUGCGGCUGAGGAGUCGGGCCCGGCGGCCUAUCAGUCUUUGGUUGGGGUGGGGUGANCGGUCCUACCAAGGCGACGGACGGGUAGCCGGCCUGAGAGGGCGACCGGCCACAC